rnacentral:rRNA from 1 species
UUAGAUACCCGGGUAGUCCACGCCGUAAACGAUGUCUACUUGGAGGUUGUGGCCUUGAGCCGUGGCUUUCGGAGCUAACGCGUUAAGUAGACCGCCUGGGGAGUACGGUCGCAAGAUUAAAACUCAAAUGAAUUGACGGGGGCCCGCACAAGCGGUGGAGCAUGUGGUUUAAUUCGAUGCAACGCGAAGAACCUUACCUACUCUUGACAUCCAGAGAAGCCAGCGGAGACGCAGGUGUGCCUUCGGGAACUCUGAGACAGGUGCUGCAUGGCCGCCGUCAG